rnacentral:rRNA from 1 species
UCCAGGGGGUGCAAACGUUGCUCGGAAUCAUUGGGCGUAAAGCGCACGUAGGCGGUUCGUUAUGUCGGAUGUGAAAGCCCUUGGCUUAACCGAGGAAGUGCAUCCGAAACUGGCGAGCUAGAGUACUAAAGAGGAUCGCGGAAUUCCCGGUGUAGAGGUGAAAUUCGUAGAUAUCAAGCGGAACACCAGUGGCGAAGGCGAGUCCCUGGACAACUCCUGACACUGAGGCACGAAAGCGUGGGGAGCAAACAGG